rnacentral:miRNA from 1 species
AAAUCCUUGCCUCUCACAGU